rnacentral:sRNA from 1 species
AGAGUUCUGUCCUGUUGCCACAUACUUCCU